AGUCGAACGGCAGCACGGGAGCAAUCCUGGUGGCGAGUGGCGAACGGGUGAGUAAAGUAUCGGAACGUGCCCAGUCGUGGGGGAUAACGCAGCGAAAGUUGUGCUAAUACCGCAUACGAUCUAUGGAUGAAAGCGGGGGAUCGCAAGACCUCGCGCGAUUGGAGCGGCCGAUAUCAGAUUAGCUAGUUGGUGGGGUAAAGGCUCACCAAGGCGACGAUCUGUAGCUGGUCUGAGAGGACGACCAGCCACACUGGGACUGAGACACGGCCCAGACUCCUACGGGAGGCAGCAGUGGGGAAUUUUGGACAAUGGGCGCAAGCCUGAUCCAGCAAUGCCGCGUGCAGGAUGAAGGCCUUCGGGUUGUAAACUGCUUUUGUACGGAGCGAAAAGGCUCUCUCUAAUACAGGGGGCUCAUGACGGUACCGUAAGAAUAAGCACCGGCUAACUACGUGCCAGCAGCCGCGGUAAUACGUAGGGUGCGAGCGUUAAUCGGAAUUACUGGGCGUAAAGCGUGCGCAGGCGGUUUUGUAAGACAGAGGUGAAAUCCCCGGGCUCAACCUGGGAACUGCCUUUGUGACUGCAAGGCUAGAGUACGGCAGAGGGGGAUGGAAUUCCGCGUGUAGCAGUGAAAUGCGUAGAUAUGCGGAGGAACACCGAUGGCGAAGGCAAUCCCCUGGGCCUGUACUGACGCUCAUGCACGAAAGCGUGGAUAGCAAACAGGAUUAGAUACCCUGGUAGUCCACGCCCUAAACGAUGUCAACUAGGUGUUGGGUGGGUAAAACCAUUUAGUACCGGAGCUAACGCGUGAAG
rnacentral:rRNA from 1 species